GCCGGCGUCACUUAACCUGGUAUAGUGCUGGUCUCGAAAACCAGUGCCUUCACGGGCAUGUAGGUUCAAAUCCUACCGCCGGCG
rnacentral:tRNA from 1 species